rnacentral:rRNA from 1 species
UCCUACGGGAGGCAGCAGUGGGGAAUAUUGCACAAUGGGCGCAAGCCUGAUGCAGCCAUGCCGCGUGUAUGAAGAAGGCCUUCGGGUUGUAAAGUACUUUCAGCGGGGAGGAAGGUGUUGUGGUUAAUAACCACAGCAAUUGACGUUACCCGCAGAAGAAGCACCGGCUAACUCCGUGCCAGCAGCCGCGGUAAUACGGAGGGUGCAAGCGUUAAUCGGAAUUACUGGGCGUAAAGCGCACGCAGGCGGUCUGUUAAGUCAGAUGUGAAAUCCCCGGGCUCAACCUGGGAACUGCAUUUGAAACUGGCAGGCUUGAGUCUCGUAGAGGGGGGUAGAAUUCCAGGUGUAGCGGUGAAAUGCGUAGAGAUCUGGAGGAAU